rnacentral:lncRNA from 1 species
UGUCCCAGGACCCUGCGGGGCGGUGGAGGCGCACCAAAAAUUUUGUCUCCUGUCACUUCUUAUGGCUUCAACACAUACUUCUAAGACUGGUCUGGGUGGGCACACUAUUUGGGAUGGAGGGAGGCAACAAAAUGGGAAUAAGCCUUCACACACCCAGUUUCAUCUCAACACUGUCCUAAUAAAAAGGACCUCACCCCCCACCGCCCACAGGGAAAGGGGGAACCAUCUUCACUUCUGGUCUCGAAAUAAGGGACCACUUAUCCCUCCCCAAAGGGGUGGGCUUCACUCAUCCUGGGAUAGGGGCCUUGGCAAAAAUGAGGAAAGAUGGGAGGGGGAAAACAUGGGAGGAGGCGAAGGGUAGAAGGAGGGGGAAAGGGGGGGAUGUGGGAGGAGGGAAAGGGGGAGGAGGGAAAGGGGGAGGAGGGGAAAAGUGGGAGGAGCCCUAGGUCCCUGAGGGUACUAGGGACCAAGAGAGUAAUCAGGAAUUCAGAACACAAAGUCUUGGGGAUCCAUCCAGGAUCCCCAAGGAAACAAGCAUGGGGUACACAGGUUUGGACACUGCUGGUGUUCUGCCGUUCAGUCAGGUCUGACUCUGCGACUCUACGGACUGCAGCACGCCACACUUCCCUGGGAUAAAAGGUGUUGUGUGGCUCUCCCCUGCCCAGCUCACUCCUUCAGGCCCUAUAACCUCUACCAGGACUGCGACAUGGGCAUCCCGCCAGGCCGGCCUAGUCUCCCAGGGCCGCCUCCCCAACCCUCAGGAACCUCUCUCCAGCUCACUUUCCCCAUCACUGGGUUCUCUGCUUCUCCCACUCUUAGCCUCCAUAUUCCUAAGGGUGCUUACCAGGCCCCCGACCCUGGGCUCUCCCCUGCCAUCAUGCCAGGGUGGGUAGGUGGGCAGGCUGCUCAGCUCCUGACUUCUCUCUCCCACUCCUCAGCGAGUCAGGGCUUCUUUUACGUGAGGUCAGCUGACUGCCCCAUCAAGUGGCUCUGCCGCCUGUUCAGCCUCGUCUGUGCUUUAUGUGUUCCUGUCACCACACACCUGUUCCCGGGUCAACAUCAGGGAGUGAGCUGGAGGGCCAUAAAUCUUUCUGCCACUUCCUGA